rnacentral:rRNA from 1 species
UGAGGAAUAUUGGUCAAUGGGGGCAACCCUGAACCAGCCAAGUCGCGUGAAGGAUGAAGGUCUUAUGGAUUGUAAACUUCUUUUAUACAGGAAUAAAUUGGGGGACGUGUCCCCUUUUGCAUGUACUGUAUGAAUAAGGAUCGGCUAACUCCGUGCCAGCAGCCGCGGUAAUACGGAGGAUCCGAGCGUUAUCCGGCUUUAUUGGGUUUAAAGGGUGCGCAGGCGGGAUGUUAAGUCGGCGGUGAAAUUUUGCAGCUCAACUGUAAAAUUGCCUUCGAUACUGGCCUCCUUGAGUGUGGAUGAAGUAGGCGGAAUUUGUGGUGUGGCGGUGAAAUGCUUAGAUAUCACGAGCAACUCAGAUUGCGCAGGCAGCUUACUAAGCCACAACUGACGCUCAUGCACGAAGGCGUGGGGAUCAAACA